rnacentral:rRNA from 1 species
GACGAACGCUGGCGGCGUGCCUAAUACAUGCAAGUCGAACGGUUUAGUUCCAAGAGGCUUGCCUUUUGGAACUAGACAGUGGCGGACGGGUGAGUAACACGUAGGCAACCUACCUGUCAAACCGGGAUAACCUCGGGAAACCGAAGCUAAACCCGGAUAAGCUCCUUUUUCGCAUGAAGGGGGAGUGAAAAGGUGCGACCUGAUGACAGAUGGGCCUGCGGCGCAUUAGCUAGUAGGUAGGGUAACGGCCUACCUAGGCGAUGAUGCGUAGCCGACCUGAGAGGGCGUACGGCCACACUGGGACUGGGAUACGGCCCAGACUCCUACGGGAGGCAGCAGUAGGGAAUCUUCGGCAAUGGGCGAAAGCCUGACCGAGCAACGCCGCGUGAGUGAGGAAGGCCUUCGGGUUGUAAAACUCUGUUGUUUGGGAAGAAGGGAAAGGGUAGGACCCUUAGGUGACGGUACCAAACGAGAAAGCCCCGGCUAACUACGUG